rnacentral:rRNA from 1 species
GACGAACGCUGGCGGCGUGCCUAAUACAUGCAAGUUGAGCGAUGAAGAUUGGUGCUUGCACCAAUUUGAAGAGCAGCGAACGGGUGAGUAACGCGUGGGGAAUCUGCCUUUGAGCGGGGGACAACAUUUGGAAACGAAUGCUAAUACCGCAUAACAACUUUAAACAUAAGUUUUAAGUUUGAAAGAUGCAAUUGCAUCACUCAAAGAUGAUCCCGCGUUGUAUUAGCUAGUUGGUGAGGUAAAGGCUCACCAAGGCGAUGAUACAUAGCCGACCUGAGAGGGUGAUCGGCCACCUUGGGACUGAGACACGGCCCAAACUCCUACGGGAGGCAGCAGUAGGGAAUCUUCGGCAAUGGACGAAAGUCUGACCGAGCAACGCCGCGUGAGUGAAGAAGGUUUUCGGAUCGUAAAACUCUGUUGGUAGAGAAGAACGUUGGUGAGAGUGGAAAGCUCAUCAAGUGACGGUAACUACCCAGAAAGGGACGGCUAACUACGUG